AGAAUAUCAUUUUGCCUCUUUAAAAAUCACUGGUAAGACCACAUAUUGAAUAUGCUGUGCAAUUUUGGGCACCUGUUCUAAAGAAGGAUAUUAUGGCACUAGAAAAAGUGCAGAGACGGGCUACAAAAUUAAUAAAAGGAAUGGAAAAUAUCAGCUAUGAAGAAAGGUUAACAAAUUUAAACCUAUUUAGUUUAGGAAAACGUUGCCUGAGAGGGCAUAUGAUAACAUUAUACAAAUAUAUUCGGGGCCAAUACAAACCAUUGUGUGGAAAUCUAUUCACAAACCGGACUUUACAUGGGACACAAGGUCAUGCGUUUAAACUGGAAGAAAGAAGCUUUAGUCUAAGGCAAAGGAAAG
rnacentral:lncRNA from 1 species